rnacentral:lncRNA from 1 species
GUCGUUUCUCUCUUUACCACAAAGAAAAUUAUGUAGUGACAAUAACGUCAACGAUUGUCAACAAUGAUGCAAUUGUAAUAAAACAUUUUUAAUCUGUCAAUCAAAAUAAAAAAAAUAAAAAAAAAAUAACACCAAAGCUAAUUUUAAAAUUUCAAAAAAAUUCUACCAAUUGUGAAACGUGAAAGAACAAGUUACACAAAAUGUAGAACAAAACAUUACGACACUUUUACUUUAAUUUACUCAUUGUGAAUGUCCAAUUUGUAUGCAGCAAGUUUCUUUAUCUCUUUUUAUUGUGAUUAUAAUUCAUAGGUAAAGUAUAAAUAUCGUUCACAACUACAAGUUCACAAGGAAGAGAGCUAGGGUUGAUGGAAGGAUAUAGAUUUGAUAACAAAAAUGAUAGUGACGAGGAAUUCUCUUAUGAUUUUUUAGCUCACCCGGCCCAAAUGGCCAAUUAAGUAAGCUUUUCUCAUCACUUGGCGGCCGUCGUCGUCCAUCGUCGAUAACUUUUACAAAAAUCUUCUCCUCUGAAACUACUGGGCCAAAUUUAACCAAACUUGGCCACAAUCAUCAUUGGGGUAUUUAAUUUAAAAAUUGUGUCCGGUGAACCUGCCAAUCAACCAAGAUAGCCGACAUGGCUAAAAAUAGAACAUAGGGGGAAAGUGUGUAAUGUAGCUUAUAUCUCUGAAUCAAAGCAUUUAGAGCAAAUCUUACAGAGUAAUAUUGUUUAUCAGGCCAAGAUCUAUCUGCCCUGAA